CCUACGGGUGGCAGCAGUGGGGAAUAUUGCGCAAUGGGCGAAAGCCUGACGCAGCGAAGUAGCGUGAGGGAUGAAGGUCUUAGGAGCGGAAACCUCUGUCAGCAGGGAAGUACGGUCACUGUGCUAAUCAGCAGUGAAUUGACGGUACCUGCAAAGGAAGGACCGGCUAACUCCGUGCCAGCAGCCGCGGUAAUACGGAGGGUGCGAGCGUUGAUCGGAUUUACUGGGCGUAAGGGGCGCGUAGGCGGUAUGUCAAGUCAAGGGUGAAAUCCCCGCGCUCAACGUGGGAAUUGCCAUUGAAACUGGCAAACUGGAGUGUGGGAGAGGAUAGUGGAAUUCCAGGUGUAGGAGUGAAAUCCUUAGAUAUCAGGAGGAACAUCAGUGGCGAAGGCGACUAUCUGGCACACAACUGACGUUGAGGAGCGAAAGUGUGGGUAGCAAACAGGAUUAGAUACCCCUGUAGUC
rnacentral:rRNA from 1 species